AUGGACCGUCGCGCUACCUUCGCUUCCCGGAGCUUCGCCGCCCCGAGCAUCCGCAUCAACAUCCCCGACCAGCUGCCCACGUUGUUCGAGCCGCAGAAGGCCAUGCCGAAGCCGAACCCGCGCUCCGGCACCACCGCCGACGCACCACCGUCGCCGGAGCGCCGCCUCACCGUGCUGGCCCUGCAGCUGGCCGUGCUCGAGAAGGCGGCGAGCCGGCUGGGCACGCUGGCCUUCAUAUGGGCCACCGUCGUGCUGCUCGCCGGCUUCGCCAUCACCCUCAGCCCAACUGACUUCUGGUGUAUCACGGGCCUUCUCCUCAUCGAGGGCACCCGCAUCUUGGGACGCAGCCACGAGCUGGAGUGGCAGCACCACCAGGCCAGCCGGACCCGCCCCGCCUCCCACGCCGCCGUCCGCGCCUUCUUCUGGAUGCAGCUGCUCUCGGCGUCGGCGUGCGUCUCCCUCUCCCUCGUCCGCCUCAUCCACCAGCACUACGGCGGCACCGAGGACGCCCGCACCAAUCGUGCCGCAGCGCUCAACAUCUUCUACAGCCUCGCGCUCGCAGAGGCGCUGCUCUUCCUCAUCGAGAAAGCGCUCUGGCAGUGGAAGGUGAGCCACCACCGCCUCCUCGAGCGCGUCGCCGACGACUGCAACCUCGCCAGCGCCUGCGGCCAGGUCGCCGUCCGCUGCUUCUUCUACGACUCUUACAUGCGCUGCCUCAACGGCAGCAGCUUCGAUGGUCUCCACAUGACUCUCGUCUCCUACGCCGACGACCUCAUCACCGUGGGCUCGCACGACGAGCAGAGCCUCGGCGCCAGCAUUCUCGUCGCGCUCGCCGAGUCCGACCGUUUCGCCGACGCCACGCUGCGCAGGAUCUGUGUUUCCGCGCCCACCAUCGAGCGCCUCAUCGAGAUGCUCAGCUGGAAGGGGGCCUCGGAGCGGGACGUCCGGCGCUCGGCCGCCGUGGUCGUGUCCAUGCUCACCGAGAGGAAGCUCAUCCUGCUACGAGUCACCGGCAUCCCCGGUGCCAUCGAGUCCGUCGCGUCGCUGCUCUACGCCGACCUCGACGAGCUCAACAUCCUCGGUCUCUCCAUCCUCAACAAGCUGGCGCACGACCACGACAACUGCGACAAGAUCGGCAAGACCAGGGGCCUCCUCGACAAGAUCAUCUCCUACUCCAGCAUCGACCAUGCGCUGGCGGCGUCGACGCCCAGGGACAUGAGGAUCAAGGCGGUGAAGCAGUCGCUGCGCGUGGUGAAGAGGCUGGCCAGCACGACGGGGAACACCGGGAAGCUGCUCCGACGGGAGCUCACCGACAUCGUCUUCACCGUGAGCAACGUCAGGGAGGUCCUGCAGCGGCGCGAUAAGAAUGUCCAGUUGGAGCUGCACCAGAUGGCCAUCGAGAUACUCACGAGUCUUGCCAUGGACGAUGUGGCCAGGGAGAUAAUCGGCGAGACGGGGGGCGUGGUCAGCGUGCUGGUCGCCAUGUUCUUGCCGGCGGGGUUUACCACGAAGGAGUGUCGAACGACGGACGCUGUCCGAGUGGAGGCCGGCGAGGCGCUCGCCAUGCUGGCUAUCGAGAACAAGAAGAACUGCGGGGAGAUCAUAAUGGCUCUCGGCGGAGGGGUCUGGCGGCUCGUCGACGCGCUGAAGGACCCCAUCAUCAUAGUCAGCGCCGCAAGGAUCAUGCGCAACUUAUGCUCCUACGCCGGUGACGAGUGGCAGAUCCCGCUGAGAGGGGUCACCGCCGGCGCCGCCAAGGUACUUAGGUCCAUCACGGUGGAGAAGGCCAAGAUCCUCAGCAUCUUCAUCGGGCUGGCGGCGCAGAUGCUCCCGUACAUGGAGCCCGGGGAACUCCACGCGAGGCUCGCCGCGGCGAGGGUAGUGGACACGGUGCUGGCAAGGACGCUCGUGCAGGUGCUGCGGGAGUACAGCCGCCCGUCCAUGGAUGUACCCCGGAUCCGGCGGUACACCAUCGAGCUCGCCAUGGCCAUGAUGCGGUUGGACGCGCGCUACGUGGCCCUGUUCGUGGAGCUCGGGAUGGGGAGCGAGCUGAGGUGCGUGGCGGGGACCACCUCGCAGCUGGAGUGCUUCAACGUCUUCUCCGGGAGCGUCGGGCUCAGCCGCCGCGCAACCAGCGUCCGCUCCCUCGUCACGUCGGCAUUGGAGCUGAUGAACAAGGGCCGGAAUUAA
rnacentral:rRNA from 1 species